UGGGGAAUAUUGCGCAAUGGGCGAAAGCCUGACGCAGCAACGCCGUGUGAGUGAUGAAGGCCCUCGGGUCGUAAAGCUCUGUCGGAGCUCAAGAUGCCGGUCGAGGAACAAUACCCUUGAUCGGUGACGGUAAGCUCAAAGGAAGCACCGGCUAACUCUGUGCCAGCAGCCGCGGUAAGACAGAGGGUGCAAGCGUUGUUCGGAAUUAUUGGGCGUAAAGCGCGCGUAGGCGGCUUGGUAAGUCGGAUGUGAAAGCCCGGGGCUCAACCCCGGAAGUGCAUUCGAAACUGCCUAGCUUGAGUCCCGGAGAGGGUGGUGGAAUUCCUGGUGUAGAGGUGAAAUUCGUAGAUAUCAGGAGGAACACCCGUGGCGAAGGCGACCACCUGGACGGUGACUGACGCUGAGGUGCGAAAGCGUGGGUAGCAAACAGG
rnacentral:rRNA from 1 species